CUCUGCCUUGUCUUUUCUUUGUAUUGUAAAAUUAAUCUAUUUUCGUGUGCUAUUUGAUUAAGCUGAAAUUUCUUGAAAUCAGAUAGCUAAAGGUAGAGAUAAGCUGCUAAAUUACAUGCUCUUUAUGACGAUUACUCCAUCAUUGCCCAACCUUUUCAUUAAUCUUUGAUUGGUCUAAUUCCAGCACCCUAUGUCAUGUUCAGAAUGGUUCCAAGGGGAGUCACUUAUCAAAGAAAAAAAAAAAAACCAAAAACAAAAAAGAGGGGGCCCUUAGAGGAGAAACUUGCUGGAAAUGAAGGUGUAUGGCUCUAUUUGUUUCUCUCUAUUUUUCCCCUAAGACUCCCUGCUCUUCUCAGACCCUCUCUACAUUUGAACUCAUUCUUAUUUUCUAUCUGUUUUGUCCCCCCACCCCAGCUGUUUGUGCUUAGAAUCUUUACAUCUUUUUCGGUAAGGUUUCACUUUGAUUUUUCUUUUAUUUUAUUUUCUUUUUCAGUUUUAUUAAGUGUUUGAUUGAGGAUAGAUUUUAAUGCACUCUAGGGAAUUAAACUUUGGUGACAGACCUUUUUUUAACAAUGCACUCUCUAGGGAAUUAAACUAUGUUGAGGUUAACUUCUGGAUUCUCCAAAUAUGGAAUUCCUCUUUGGACUGUUCUUGAGACCCUUGAUAUUGAUGUGCCUAGUACUGGUGACAUGGAGUGGGUUGGGCUAAAUUCCUUCAUCACAAAUUAAAUCAAAAUUGACAUUACAAAACCUCUAGGGCCUGUUUGGUAUUAUUGUUUAAACAACAAUUUUGGUUGUUUAAACAACAGUACAUGUAUUUCCAUAGCACUUUUUCACCCACGCGUAGUUCCAUAAUACUUAAACAAUAUUACUAGAAAUCUCUUAUCAAACGGGCCCUAAUUAUUAGAGCACUAGCAUCAGGUAGGGUUGAGCAGGGACCUGACCCACCCGACCUGACCCGAUGGGUUUUGGGCGGGUUUGAGAAUAUUCGGGUCAGAUUUCAAGUUUGAAGAUUUGAUUAUUUUCGGUUUCAGGUCGGGUUCAGGUUCAUAUAAAUAUACCUCUUUUGGACCCGAAAUUUUUUUAGAAAAAAACCCUAAGCUCUCUCUCGGUCUCUCCGCCUCUCUCAGCUUUCUCAGCUCUCCAGCCUCGAAUCACCAUCACAAUUUGGCGGUGCUCUUCUGCCUCUCUCACCGAGUUCUCUCAAAUGGUUUCAGCAAUUUGGUUUCAGCAAGAUCUUUAACAGAUUGGAUUCUAAGUAAUUUUGUUGAUGUUGCUGAUCCUGACAACACGAAGAUCUCAAGUAGUGAGCAUUCUAAUUUGCUGAGCAAACCCUCUCUUAGUGAUAUCCCAUUGCUAGUGCCAGGGAACCAGGAAUUCUAUCUAAACAGGCUUUGAUCAAUGUAAACUAACAAAUUCCCAGUUAUGGUGAGUGUUAAGAUGAUUUAAGUACCAUCUAUUUUUCAUUUAAGGAAUAUGAACUCAGGUUGUUUUA